rnacentral:rRNA from 2 species
UAGGGAAUCUUCCACAAUGGACGCAAGUCUGAUGGAGCAACGCCGCGUGAGUGAAGAAGGUUUUCGGAUCGUAAAGCUCUGUUGUUGGUGAAGAAGGAUAGAGGCAGUAACUGGUCUUUAUUUGACGGUAAUCAACCAGAAAGUCACGGCUAACUACGUGCCAGCAGCCGCGGUAAUACGUAGGUGGCAAGCGUUGUCCGGAUUUAUUGGGCGUAAAGCGAGCGCAGGCGGAAUGAUAAGUCUGAUGUGAAAGCCCACGGCUCAACCGUGGAACGGCAUCGGAAACUGUCAUUCUUGAGUGCAGAAGAGGAGAGUGGAAUUCCAUGUGUAGCGGUGGAAUGCGUAGAUAUAUGGAAGAACACCAGUGGCGAAGGCGGCUCUCUGGUCUGCAACUGACGCUGAGGCUCGAAAGCAUGGGUAGCGAACAGG